UUGACCUCAAAUCGGGUGGGACUACCC
rnacentral:rRNA from 12 species